rnacentral:tRNA from 1 species
UCCCUGGUGGUCUAGUGGUUAAGCCCCUGUGCUUCCAAUGCAGGAGGUGCAGGUCUGAUUCCUGGUCAGGGAG